rnacentral:rRNA from 1 species
GGUCAAGUUAUUAAGGGUGCAGGGCGGAUGCCUUGGCACUAGGAGCCGAUGAAGGACGUGAUAAGCUGCGAUAAGCUUCGGGGAGUUGCACGUAAACUUUGAUCCGAAGAUUUCCGAAUGAGGAAACUCACUUAGAGUAAUGUCUAAGUAUCAUUAAGUGAAUACAUAGCUUAAUGAGGGGAACUCAGGGAACUGAAACAUCUAAGUACCUGAAGGAAGAGAAAGAAAUUCGAUUCCGUAAGUAGCGGCGAGCGAACGCGGAUUAGCCCAAACCAAUAAAGUUUUCUUUGUUGGGGUUGCGGACAUAUCAUAACGAAGAGGUAUCGUAAUUGAAGAGGUUUGGAAAGACCCACCACAGAAGGUAAUAGUCCUGUAUGUUAAACGAGAAGACUU